rnacentral:rRNA from 1 species
UACGUAGGGUGCGAGCGUUGUCCGGAUUUAUUGGGGCGUAAAGGGCUCGUAGGCGGCGUGUCGCGUCGGGGAGUGAAAGCCCCGUUGCUUAACGGCGGGUUGGCUUUCGGUACGGGGCAUGCUGGAGUGCGGCAGGGGAGACUGGAAUCCUGGUGUAGCGGUGGAAUGCGCAGAUAUCAGGAGGAACACCGGUGGCGAAGGCGGGUCUCUGGGCCGUUACUGACGCUGAGGAGCGAAAGCGUGGGGAGCGAACAGG